GUAGUAUUCCCUCCGUCCCAAAAUUCUUGUCUUACAUUUGUUUAGAUACGGAUGUCUCUGACACUAAAAUGUAACUAGAUGCAUCCGUAUUUAGACAAAUUUAAGAAAAGAAUUUUGGGACGGAGGGAGUACAAA
rfam:Triticum aestivum genome assembly, contig: Triticum_aestivum_CS42_TGACv1_scaffold_221040_3B